UACGUAGGGGGCAAGCGUUGUCCGGAAUCAUUGGGCGUAAAGCGCGUGUAGGCGGCCCGAUAAGUCCGCUGUGAAAGUCCAGGGCUCAACCCUGGGAUGCCGGUGGAUACUGUCGGGCUCGAGUCCGGAAGAGGCGAGUGGAAUUCCUGGUGUAGCGGUGAAAUGCGCAGAUAUCAGGAGGAACACCAAUGGCGAAGGCAGCUCGCUGGGACGUGACUGACGCUGAGGAGCGAAAGCGUGGGUAGCAAACAGG
rnacentral:rRNA from 1 species